rnacentral:tRNA from 1 species
GCCCUCGUAGUUCAACGGAUAGAACGAUGGUUUCCUAAACCAUUGAUAUGGGUUCGAUUCCCGUCGAGGGUACUA